UACGAAGGGGGCUAGCGUUGCUCGGAAUUACUGGGCGUAAGGGGCGCGUAGGCGGAUGCUUAAGUCAGAGGUGAAAGCCCAGGGCUCAACCUUGGAACUGCCUUUGAUACUGGGCAUCUUGAGUAUGGGAGAGGUGAGUGGAACUCCGAGUGUAGAGGUGAAAUUCGUAGAUAUUCGGAAGAACACCAGUGGCGAAGGCGACUCACUGGCCCAUUACUGACGCUGAGGCGCGAAAGCGUGGGGAGCAAACAGG
rnacentral:rRNA from 1 species